UACGUAGGUGGCAAGCGUUGUCCGGAAUUAUUGGGCGUAAAGCGCGCGCAGGCGGUCCUUUAAGUCUGAUGUGAAAGCCCACGGCUCAACCGUGGAGGGUCAUUGGAAACUGGGGGACUUGAGUGCAGAAGAGAAGAGUGGAAUUCCACGUGUAGCGGUGAAAUGCGUAGAUAUCAGGAAGAACACCCCGUGGCGAAGGCGGCUCUCUGGUACGUGACUGACGCUGAGACGCGAAAGCGUGGGGAGCGAACAGG
rnacentral:rRNA from 1 species